rnacentral:rRNA from 1 species
ACUCAAAGGAAUUGACGGGGGCCUGCACAAGCGGUGGAGUAUGUGGCUCAAUUCGAUGCAACGCGAAGAACCUUACCUGGCCUUGACAUGCACGUAGUAGAAGGGUGAAAGCCUAACGAGGUAGCAAUACCAGCGUGCACAGGUGCUGCAUGGCUGUCGUCAGCUCGUGUCGUGAGAUGUUGGGUUAAGUCCCGCAACGAGCGCAACCCUUGUGUCCUGUUGCCACCCGAUCGCAAGAUCGGAGCACUCGGGACAGACUGCCUCGCUUAAACGAGGAGGAAGGUGAGGAUGACGUCAAGUCAGUAUGGCCCUUACGGCCAGGGCUGCACACGUACUACAAUGCCCGGCACAAAGGGAAGCAAGACCGCAAGGUGGAGCAAAUCCCCAAAAACCGGGCCCAGUUCAGAUUGUCGUCUGCAACUCGACGGCAUGAAGCUGGAAUCGCUAGUAAUGGCGCAUCAGCUACGGCGCCGUGAAUACGUUCCCAGGCCUUGUACACACCGCCCGU